AGCACACGCUGACGACCAAGCAGAGCGGAAUUCCCCCUCGCUGUCUAUAUGAUAGCAACACCACUGCUAUGCAGCAUUUGGAAUGUGUGUGGCUGAACUGGGCUUGGCUGUGGAUGGGGGUUAAAAGGUAGUAAAUGUAUGUGUGUGUGUGUGUGUGUGUGUGAGCGUCUGGGAGUUGGGGUGUCAACCCAUAAUCUAACGUUGGCACUCGGGUGUGAGGCUGGAAUUCCCCUACAUUCUGUGAGUUUUCUCAAAAACAGGCAGCUGCUGACUUUUUAUGAAUCAAGGACCACGUUUCAGCUAAAAAUCUUUACUGCUCUACUCAAGACAAAAAAAGUCACCUACAUCUUGGAUGUCCUGAGGGUUGGUGAGAGCAUGAGGACUAUAUAGAUCUCCAGCAGGUGCUGAGUGGCUGCUGUCUCAGGUCACACAUUGCGACAGGACAUGUUUCAGAUCCCUGGCUGAGAACUGAGAGCUAGGUUGACAGCACUGGUGUCAUGACAUCAUCAGCACCACCAUCAUCAUCAUCAUCAUCAUCGAACCUGGGCCAGGGGAAUUAUAAAAUUAAAAAGUCGAGUGAGGAUGCAAGCCCAGCAAAAGGUUGGGCACAUCCAGCGAUGAAAAUGCAAUCAAAACAAACAGAGCCCUGCAAUCUGGGGAGACAAGUGAGAGGGGCUUCUCUGCUAUCUCCAUUAAUCAGAGACCAGGGAUCGUUCAAAGGGAUCUGCCGACCCUUCCCUCAUCCCUCAAACCUGGGGCUGCAGGAUGGACAAGAUUAGACCUACUGAUAGCAGCUGGAUCAGUCACAAAAACAACCAUCUCUGCAGGUAUACCCACAUGUGCUCAUAGGCUAAGACCUAACAACAUAGUGGUAAGUGAGGCCGCUUGAUGUCACAAAGAUAUAUUAUGGUAAUGAUAAGGUUUUACAUCAAUUACACAUGUUUUCUCUAACAGUGGUUUUGUACAUUGGUUUAAACAUUUUUUUUCCCGUGAAUUUUAUCCUUCAGUAAAAUUCCAAAAAUGUUUGCCUUAUAAACAAAUGAACAAUAAAACCACAAUAGCAUUCAGGCAAGGAUAAAAAAAAUAUAUAAAAAAGUUUGUAUAAUUAUAAUUUAUUUUAAUCUAAACCAAAUCUGGGCAAAUUUGGCUAAUAAUUAAGCCAUCACAUGUUUAAAAUUUUACAUAUUUACACUAUUCAUUAAAUCUGUGUGCCUACUCAGAAAGUGAAAACUAGCCCUAUUUUUUUUGGGAAGCAAAUUAUUUACAUGACUAUACCAGUUGCAUGGCUUUCAACUGAAAUUUACAUGUGUUAGAUUUACAUUCUUUUUACAGACAUGAAAAACUGAAUAAUCAAACAUGAACAGAUUAAAAAGCAUUUAUUUUCAUACCAACAUACCAAAUUAAAGAAAGCUGGCACCUCCUUAGAAAAAAAAAAUGGUUACAUUGAUUUUAUAUAGACUAACCUAUUUUACCAUAAUUUAUUAUUUGAUAGAUUUAUAAUCAGAGCAGUUUUGUAAUAUUGUACUAUUUGUACCCAAUCAGAAAUUACUAUUUCAAUUGCCUUUUUAAAGAGGUGCCAAUACUCCAUUGAAAUGGAAUACUACAUUAGAACAUCAUUAACGAUACAAGCAUGUAAAUUUAAUCCCUAGCUAUUAAUACAGCUUUGUUUAGAUUUGAACUCUGUUCAGAUCCACAGAAACAAAUGUCCAGUAGCAAGUGCAUAAAGAGCUGACAACAAGCAAGCUGAGGAUUGAGAAUCUAGACAGUUCACCUUAAACUGCACAAAACGCAUUCUUUGUUGCCAUAAGAACACCACACUUAAAAAUAUCAUAGCCAGGCAGCAGCUGGAGAACCAGACACAACUGUUAGCACCUCCAGCACGACAGUAACUCUUUUACUGAGGAGAAUAAGAACAGGAAUGCGAUGCUUUUGCAAUAUGUGCUCGUAUCUAUUUACAAAUGAAGCAACUAAAUAAAACCACAUGCACCAUGUGUGCAUGCCCAAGUAAGUGGUCAAGAUAAACCUAGUGACCUUACAAAUGGCUUUUACAGAAUACAGAAUACACAAAGUCUCCCCGUCUUACCGUUGAAAGGCUCGCUCUGGGCAGAACUGUACUGCUGCAUAAGGAGAGGUCAUACUGCCAGACUGAUGUCUUUACUGAGGUCGUCAAGGUUAG